rnacentral:lncRNA from 1 species
AAAAUUUCUUUCUUUUUUUUGGAUUUUUGACUUGUAACACAUUUCCAAAUGCAAAAACAAAAGACUAGGUAGACUUAACUAGACAAUACAAACUCUAACAUCACCUAAAAGACUGAAUACUACUAUACAGAACUAGAAAAUAAAACAAAAACAAUUGACUCAAAAACAUAAAAUGGCUCGUCGAGCAGCUCCUGAAUGCAGUGAUCCUAGGGUAUCUGUCAUGCUCAAACUCCGGUAAGUAGCUCCACACCUGUAUGAGAAAACCUAAACCAACACUAUGUGAGAUAAUAACAUUCUCUAAGACACAUGCAAGACAUGAUUGGGGCUAUUUUUGCAAAAUGGCUUAUUUGGCCAAGAGGUGGAUAGCAGUGCAAAAUUUGGCUAAGACCCCGCAAAGCCAAGAAUCUAAGAUAUACUAAGAAGACUGGACCCUAUGUGGGUUGCCUACGUAUCACGCCCCCAAAGACGAGAAUCAGGUAUGCGUAGUUCGGGCAGAUUGGAUACGGGUGAGAAAUAAAAAUAACAACUAAUACAGAAAAAAUAUUUUUUUGUCUUUUGUUUUGAAAAAAAAAACGAUCGAAACGGAAGGGAGUAUAAGGGAGUUUUUUUAAACUUAAAGUGACAAUCGAAAUGAGAUCAUUUAUUUAUUAAAAAUUCAGAGUCGCCACUUGGGAUAUUUAGGGUGUCCCAAGUCACCGGUUUAAAUCCUGAAUCGAGGAAAAAUUGACUCUGUAUUACAGUCUGCAAACACAGAAAUCUGGGUAAGGAAUUCUGUUAACCCGGGAGAAGGUGUUAGGCAUUCCUGAGUUCCGUGGUUCUAGCACAGUCGCUCAACUAUUAUUAUUGGCCUAUUAUUCGAUUUAUUACAUGUUUUAGCCUAUGGUGCAUUUUUAGCUUAUUAACCGCUUUUAAUUAAUUUUAGGAAGAUUCAACGUUAUUUAAAAUACGCCUUGAACCAUGCCACAUGAAAUGCACCCGCGGUCCACGACACAUUUUAUUUAACGUUGUUGAGAAUUGAAAUUGGGUCACAUGAAAUGCACACCCGAAUUUCGGAAUUAGGCAUCGCAACUAUGUCACGGGAACCGUACCCAUAGUCACAAUGGUUUAUUAAUCUCGCCUAAAAUAAGCUACGAUAUUGAAUAGUUAAUUUCUAAUUUCUAAAUUCGAUGCUGAAUGUGAUAUGCUCAGAGACUAACAAUAAUAGUUGCAAUUUGAUUAACAGGGCAAAUAAGACAGAAAUUUCCAACAUACAAAUCCUUAGUUUUCCAACGUUAUGCUAUAAAAACAAGCCAUUACUGGAAGGCCAUAACAACAAGUUAUUUUUCCUUUCUAAUUCCAAUUCUAUUCCUAUGGAUUAUUAUUAUUGUUGAAAGCCAAUUUUUCUUUAAGCAGAAAUUCCAGCAAACUUUAUACGUAAAAUUUCAACGAUCCUUCUGACACCAGAUAUAUACAAGAUGGCAUAUAAUUCUAACCCUUCUUAAAAAUUAGGUUAUGAAAAUAAUACAGUGAACUCUUCUGAAAUUCUUAAAAGAGCAAAACUAGACCGUAGACAACUUAAACCUUUGGAGAACAAUUGUAUAACCUAUGAAUUUCUGGAGACUAAUUUUGAGAACGUAGCUAAAUUCAUAGUCGCACAGUGCCAAGCAUGGGAAUCAACAUGGAAACAAGGCUGCUGCAACUUCCCGAAUAUAACCCAAUAAUAUGCUAAAUACAUAACCAUCAAAGCCAUAAUAUAAUAAAUCAAGCACGAGAAUGACAGAGAUAAGAGAAGCAGAUCUGAAAUUCACAGAGCAAAUAAAGUUUAAAAUUGGGCCUUUCAUCGAUUCAAAAUUGCAACUUAGAAUACGAACCGGAAAUGACCGCAAUGGAACAGAAACUCGACGACCUCGAAGCUCGCCGAAAAUUGAUGAACCUCGGAUAGAAACUAAUGGUGACGGGAAAACCGAACACAGAUUCGUCGACUCAAACCUCACCAGUGAUCUCCGUGCAACCGGACACAACAUAGUUUCGAACUCAAGUGAGCUCCAUACAUUUGAAACCAAAAGUCGAAAUCAAAAUCAAAGAGAAAGAAGCAGAAAAUUUUCUGUAGAAGACAGAUUUUAGGGGGUGGGGGUCCGAAAUUUUUGUGUUCUUCAGCAGAUUACUUCAAGCUUUUUAGGCUUUCUUCAUUUUGUUCAAGGAGAAACAGAAUGUUUAGGGUGAGGUGAGGAAAACAAGUUCAGAGGGGUGAGGUUCUUGGAUCUUGAGAAUUGCAUCUGAGUUUGUGAUGGGAAACGGUGGAUCUAUGGGGGUUUUAGGCGUUAGUCUAUUGCUUUUGGUGUUUUUUGCAUUUUUUGGCUUUUUGUUCUUUUUUUUUUUGAGAGAACGGCGGAUAAGUCAUUAAUAG